UACCCUUACCAUCUUGACUUGCUGUUUCUUGGCUGUUAUGGAUACUGACACUUUUUCCGUGGCAAUGAUGAACUUAAGGCAAGGCCAUGUCAUAACCAGAGGCUAGCAGUCAGAAUCAUGAUGAAGGAAGACCAGAUGACCCCUUCUCUCCUAGUCCAUGUAAAGAAGUGCAAAAGAAAAUUCCUUCAUAAGAUCUUUAGAGUUACCUGAUUAACCCGUUUUCCUUAGUCAGCAUAAUGAUGACUUUCUGGAGUUAUUGUAGCAUCAAUGGACAAACCAAGGACGCUGAAUAAGAUGGAGUGAUGCUCUCCAACAGUGAAGAGCCAAAUGAGAAAAAGUUGAAGGAAAUAGAGAUGUUUAGCAUGGAAAAAAAGAAGAUUCAGGGAACUCGUGAUAGCUGUCUUCAGGUAUGUGAAAGAUUAUCCUGUGGAAAAAGGAUUAGAUUUGUUCUAUAUGGUUAGAGGGCAUAACCAAGGGACAAUGGGUAGAAGUUAAAGAAAAGUACAUUUUAGUUUUAAAAGGAAAAUUUCCUUACAACCAGCCAUUCAGAAUUGGAAUGGACUGCUUUGGGAGCUGGUUGGUUUCCCCUCAUUAGAAGUCUUAAAUCAUAGCCUGAAUGACCACUACUUAGUUAUGUUGUAGAAGGGAUCUUGAUCAGGCUUAGAUCGCUUCAGAGGUUCUUUUCCAAUUUUGGGAGUCCUCUCUGAAUCCUGCCUUAUACUUCCUAUGUGUACUGAUUUAAAUUAUAUACAAUCAUGAGUUCCCUUCCUUUUCCCUUUGCAAAAGUUAUAUUUGUUCAUUCAACAAACCUUUAUCAGGCACUUAGUAUGUGUAAAACACUGGAGAUACAAAUAAAUGUUGUAUACAAUAUAAGGUCAAUGAUAUAUACAGCACCAUGCACUAUACUAAGUUAUACAUAUACCAUAUAUACAUGAGGCUUCCUCCUCCUACAGGCUUAUAUUCUAAAAAUUACAUACCUUUGCAGUUUUGUCUAAUUGGGGAAAAUGCAAAGUUAGAAAUUGGGAAGCAGUAGCCAACUAGAAGUAAUUCCAUAAAUUGAAAUUCUGGCCCCUAACAAAAAUUAAAGGCUCUCCCCACUUCUCUUCAGUAUUUCAAAUAUUCAUAAUUCAUC